GCAUGAGCCAAGUCUUAACGCGUGUGCCAUGCAGGGAAGAGUACUAGCGCCGUUAAUUUGGCGUUUAGGCUGUUCGCAAGUUAUGCCGAGAGACAAAAGUGGCGCGAAGCAAGCAAGUAAAACCGGAAAGUCCACUGAGUACCAGAGGAGCCGAGCAAACCGGUGCCGUUUACACUACGAACACUGGAACCGUUGCUAUUCGAGUGCGUGCAAAGCCUGGAGCGAGUGGGAGUAAAAUUACAGAUAUCGGCGAGGACUCUGUG